rnacentral:rRNA from 1 species
GUGGGGAAUUUUGGACAAUGGGCGCAAGCCUGAUCCAGCAAUGCCGCGUGUGUGAAGAAGGCCUUCGGGUUGUAAAGCACUUUUGUCCGGAAAGAAAUCUCCUGGGUUAAUACCUCGGGGGGAUGACGGUACCGGAAGAAUAAGCACCGGCUAACUACGUGCCAGCAGCCGCGGUAAUACGUAGGGUGCGAGCGUUAAUCGGAAUUACUGGUCGUAAAGCGUGCGCAGGCGGCUAUGCAAGACAGAUGUGAAAUCCCCGGGCUCAACCUGGGAACUGCAUUUGUGACUGCAUGGCUAGAGUGCGUCAGAGGGAGGGGGAAUUCCGCGUGUAGCAGUGAAAUGCGUAGAGAUGCGGAGGAACACCGAUGGCGAAGGCAGCCUCCUGGGAUGACACUGACGCUCAUGCACGAAAGCGUGGGGAGCAAACAGGAUUAGAUACCCCUGUAGUCC